AUUGAACGCUGGCGGCAUGCUUUACACAUGCAAGUCGAACGGCAGCGCGGGCUUCGGCCUGGCGGCGAGUGGCGAACGGGUGAGUAAUAUAUCGGAACGUACCCAAGAGUGGGGGAUAACGUAGCGAAAGUUACGCUAAUACCGCAUACGAUCUAAGGAUGAAAGCAGGGGACCGCAAGGCCUUGUGCUCCUGGAGCGGCCGAUAUCUGAUUAGCUAGUUGGUGAGGUAAAGGCUCACCAAGGCAACGAUCAGUAGCUGGUCUGAGAGGACGACCCGCACCACUGGAACUGAGACACGGUCCAGACUCCUACGGGAGGCAGCAGUGGGGAAUUUUGGACAAUGGGGGCAACCCUGAUCCAGCAAUGCCGCGUGAGUGAAGAAGGCCUUCGGGUUGUAAAGCUCUUUUGUCAGGGAAGAAAAGGGUCUGGCUAAUAUCCAGAUCUGCUGACGGUACCUGAAGAAUAAGCACCGGCUAACUACGUGCCAGCAGCCGCCGUAAGAC
rnacentral:rRNA from 1 species